UACGUAGGGGCAAGCGUUGUCCGGAAUCAUUGGGCGUAAAGGGCGCGUAGGUGGUUCUGUAUGUCUACCGUGAAAGCGUACGGCUCAACCGUAUUUUGUCGGUAGAAACUGCAGGACUUGAGGCUGGGAGGGGCUGGUGGAAUUCCCUGUGUAGCGGUGAAAUGCGUAGAGAUGGGGGAGAACACUCGUGGCGAAGGCGGCCAGCUAGACCAGUUCUGACACUGAGGCGCGACAGCGUGGGGAGCAAACAGG
rnacentral:rRNA from 1 species